AGGACGAACGCUGGCGGCGUGCUUAACACAUGCAAGUCGAGCGGAAAGGCCCUUCGGGGUACUCGAGCGGCGAACGGGUGAGUAACACGUGAGCAACCUGCCCCUGGCUCUGGGAUAGCCUCCGGAAACGGGGAUUAAUACCGGACAUUCACUUCCUUCCGCAUGGUUGGUGGUGGAAAGUUUUUCGGCCGGGGAGGGCUCGCGGCCUAUCAGCUUGUUGGCGGGGUAACGGCCCACCAAGGCGACGACGGGUAG
rnacentral:rRNA from 1 species